GAAGUCAGAGGAUAACGCGUGGGAAUUGGCUUUCUCCGUCCACCAUGUGGGUUCUUGUGAUCCAACUCAAGUCAUCAGGCAAGCACUUUUACCUGCUGAACUGCCUCGCCAACUCUGCCCGGCACCUCUUAAGACAGAGGCCAUAGCAGAAGAGCAACAUCUGAGACAGCCACCUGAGUUAUGGUCUCGGAUAACUUGGAUCGGGUGACAAAGAAGGAGGUAUAUCUGAGGCUUCCAAGACUGGGCCAAGUGGAAUUAGGUGAAAGACAACUUGAUGAGAAAACCACAUUGCCCAUUGAGAGAGAUACAGCAUGGACACUGUGAAUGACAGCUAUUAACCAAAGCAAGGAACAAGGAAUGAUCACAUUUCAAAUACCAUGCUCUAUGGGAGAGGAGGGGUGGAAUGGAGGAGAGGCAACGAAGAUGCGAAGACAAGAGGUGUCUGUGGAUGAGAAGACUGUGUUUCUAAGGUCAGAAGCCAUGGUAUAGACACGAUGCCCCGAGAGCAGUUGUGGCCAGGUGAGGAAACGGAAGAAUGCACAAGUAGGUCAUGAGUCCCCCAAGUAGAAGCGGAGGAGGUUUGGCAGCUGGCUCAUGGUGCUGGUUACAGGGGAAGGGGUGGCCAUUGCAAUAUUAAAUCAUGGUAUAUGAGUGCAUUGUAUAGAUGAGCCAAGGACAUGAUGUCCGGGCAGUAUUUAAGAAAUUAAUGCCAUAUGUCAGUCAUAGAUCUUGCCAAUCUUUUAUCUGCCUUUCUUUCCACUACUAGCCUUAGAUAGAAGAGAAAUAAAAAGGAAACUGAGUAUUUCUACAGUUCAGCCUACACUCCUGCCCAUCUUAUACAUACAUCAUUCUUUCUUCUAUUAUCUUUCUUUUUUUUGUUGUUUUUGACAGGCUUUUGCUAUGUACUCCAGGCUGCACUCAAACCUGUGGCAAUCCUCUCGGGAUUUACAGCAGUGUGCCAGCAGGUUUCCUUCCUAAUUAAGGUUGUUUGUUUCAAUUUUAAGUCCCUCUUAUCUGUCUUUGUCUCUUCUCUUCUCUUCUCUCCCCUCCCCGCCCUCCUGUCUUUGUUACCUAGGAUGAUUUUGACUUUCUGAACUCAGGUUGAUCCUCCUGCAUCAGCGUUCCCAGUAGCUAGGAUUGCAGGCUUAGGCCACUGUGCUCAGCUUCUUUUCCAUAUCUUCCUUCCUUUUUCCUCCUUCUUUCCAGUCUUAGAUUAUAGAGACCACAAUUAACUAUUUAAAUACAGUGUCGAUCCAUUUCUCAUUUCAAUUGCAUCUUCAUAAUAGUAAUUACAAUGGUCUAGCUUGACUAAUGGAUUUUAUGUGUUUAUGAAGAAACACAUUCAAGGAUAUUUAAAGCAAUGCAUUUCUGGGUAUGGACUUUAAGACAACUUAGGAGUUUGCAUGAGAAAGAUGGGGAAGAAGCUAUGGGGUUCUUCGGGGCUACCAUCAGUGUGCUGACCUGUACAGACUGACCACCCAACAAGGAUCCUUUGAAGCACAUGAGUCAGUAAGGACAUGAAAUAAACACACUGGGGAAGUCUAAGGUUUACAAGGAGGUAAGCUAAUGAUAAAAUGACUCAACUCAAGUAUUAAAGUGAAUAUGCGUUUUAGGGGAAAGUAAAUGUGCUAAAGGAAGGGGGAAAGAACAAAGGGACAGAACGCUAAUGUGUUUGCAAGUAUCAGCAACGAUGAUACCCCAUAAAUGCAAUGGUCAUGGCUCUCUGUCCUUGAGGUCCUGACAAGCAGAUACAUAGGUAGCAGAAGCAGGGGCUUGUUCAAGUAUUUGUGACUGGCCUGGUAUGAGUGAAGUGUUAUUUCCAUAGAAACACGGGCUCUCAAUGUUUCCUAAACAGGACUAUUUGAUGUGGGUCAGUACACACUCUCUAUUGAGUGACAGGCUUCCUGGGAAAUAGUUGUGAAUGUGGCCGUGCUCGUUCAUGCUGGAGGGCUGACCGCUGAGACUCAAGGAGUGGCCGUCAUUCAGAAAGACAUCAAAUACUUCAAAGACUUUUUUUUAAAGCAUUCUUUGGGGGAAUAACUUUAAAUCUGUACCGUUAUAGUAUUCAGAACUCUUCUUGUCUACAGUGGCCUUUGCUUCUCCUGGAAGGGGCUAAGUCAUCAUUUUACGUGUUUCAAGAUGAGAAGUCUGCAACUCAAGGCAGUUCAGGGUCCCAGGGCCACAGAAGUGAGCAGCCCUGGUCCAGAAAGUGCCAGUGGAAGGGCUGGCUGACUCCUGUGUCCUCUACGUGAGAAUAGACAACUGACUAAGCUAUGUCUCUUUUUGCUUUAAGUUCUAGAAAGUUCAAGUUCAGAUUUAAAACACCCAGGAAAGACUUGAUUUGCUCUUAAGGCUUCCACACUUGGGUUCUCGGUUUUUUGUUCCUGAUGGUCCUGGAUAUUUUUUUUUCCUCCAUGUUGCUACAGGCUACAUUUAGUCAUCGGUAGAAUAGGUGUGUGAUAAAUGCAUAAACUUCACAAGAAUUUUAAAAACCCACAAUACUAACAGCAUAUUUCUCCAGAAAGAUCCAGUAAUUAGCUUUUGUAGACUUUUUU
rnacentral:sRNA from 1 species